CGUGGCGUCGACUGAAUUGAACCAGUGAACCUCUACACACUGCAUCGCGACAGACCGUCGCCUUGGGUCAUACUCGCUUCCCAAGCCGGAGUGCGUCACUACUCAAUACACACACAUCACAAUAUCAUAAAAUGCACACUAAAUAUUGACGCUCUCUACUUAGCAUGCAGUUCGGGUAUAACGCUUGUCCUGUCACGGUCAAUCGUCCCUUAAACUUAAGGACAAUAUUUUUUCAUCAUUAAAUACGUUUUGCUUUGGGUAUUAACUGUAACAAACAAUUAUGUAGAUACAUUUUCAAUCUGUUUUUAUUUUCAAUCAGGAAGCUUUUUAGCGUGUUUACGUAAUCUCAUAUCCGUUUGAAAAAUAGCAAAAUAGGCGGUAGCCCCUAGGCCUUUCCAGCUUUACGAGGACGGGUGGGAGAGCAAAGGAUCAGCGAAGCCUAGCUACUGCCUGCCGAAGAAGGCCUAACAUUUGAAGGGCAGCUUCGCAAACGCAUCCACUACCAAACCAUGAUUACUACCCACUGAGAAAAACUAGCGAGAAACUCAGAAGGCUAAUGUAAUGAACUAGGUGUCACGUUGAACUCUCAUCGAAGCGUUCGACGAGAACGGUGAACCGUGGAUAUAACAGUUUCGCGAAUCUCUUAAAUUAUUUAUUUAUUUAAAGAAUGACAUUAACUAAUACAUAAACAAGAAUACACAAUUUAGUCUUCCUUUGAAUACAUGACAAUUAAUUUGGAAUUCGCUUACUUUUUAACAAUAAUGUAUGGAGUGUAAUUAUGUUUUUUCACGGCCUUUAACAUUACUCUAACAAUAGUACAGUUUUCCCGCGUCUAUUACGUUAUAUUAUACAAGAUCAUCAAUGAGAAUCAAUGUACCUAUAACCUCCACUCAUGCCUGUGUAGCUAGAAAGUGGUUUUUUCGAAGACUUCCUAGGAAGAAAGGUCUACUUCUAAAAGCAUGACUUUAAUAAUUUUACUAAUUUUGAAAUUUGGAACUGGAUUUGAAUUCUUAGGCAAAUAAAUUUCUGUAUUGGUUUUUUUAAUCUUCUGAAUGUUUUCUUUUAACUUUGUUAAGCUUUGUAAUUAGAUCGCCAGUCCCUGAACUUUAUACUUCUUUGUAGAUGAAAUGAAAACUUUUCUUCUUUUUUGGUAAACACUACGUAGGACUUUCAAGCGCACGUCUGCAAAUUGAAUAAUUUACUAAACACCCAAUGGUUUUUCUUGGGUGUCCCAUGGUUUUUAUUGGUCAGACUUAGAAUUCCAGGAGUGACCUACGCAUACUGGUACCCCAGACAAGUUUCUAAAUAUACACUAGCUAAUCAGUAGAAUACACGUUUCGGUAAUUUUACGCAAUUUUUGUUCAUUUAAAUAAAGUUUUUUUUUUAUUCUAAAUUUCUUUUCCACUUAAUUCAAGUAUCUAAAUGUUUAUUAAGCAAAUAGCUUUGUUUGAUGUUAUACCUAACGUUAUAUAAUUUCAACACUUUCAUUUAACUGAGUUUCUAUUAACUAAUAAGUUAUAUAAUAUUGGCCGAAACAUACCAUUCACAGAUUUGCCACAAGCUACGUCAUUAUUUAUUUGACGGUAAACGCCUGCUGUCGGAGCUAGGUUGCUACACGAAGUUCCACAUUGAGGUGAUCGCCGUGAGCGUCCGCGUCGGUCGGUGGAGUCUGGACGAUCGUCAUGUUAACAUUUAUAAGUCGGCAGUGUGUAUCUCCGAUAUGGAGAAAACAUGUCCAGCUGAUUUCGCAAUGCCGACUAGUACAGUCGUCGAUCACCUGAUUUCUCGUUUGUAACUUGAGAUUUUAUUGGAACAUAUUGGUUCGUAUCAUAUUGAUAUACCCAUGUCAAAUAAGCUCUUUUAAAUCAUGUCUGAAUGUCAAAAGUAACUUGCUCGUCGACGUAAUAAAAACAUUUAAACGUUUUCUUAAUACGCAUAAAGCUUUCCUGUCGAAUUACACUUUUUUCUCAAA